ACUGCCCGGCCUUCGCGCGCCCAGGCCUGCCAGGCGGCCUCUCCCUGUCACCGCUCAGGGAGCGUGGUACCGGGGGCGUCUUGCGGACGGCCGAAGGUUAGGUGCAGGUCCCUCUGCCACCCUGCAGGGCCUGGCGUGUGCCAGUCGGGGACCGAGGGUCCGGGAGAGUCGCGUUCCCCCUGCCAGUUGCUCAGAGGAAUUCUGAGGUCGCUCUCCCACGUGCAACCCCGGGCCCCAGACCUUGCAAAGCAACAUCUGAGCUCGGGGUGCGCACCGGUCCUGAGCCAGGGCUUGCAGAGAAGAGCAGCCGAGAAGCGCGUGUGUACACGUGUGCCACGCACUCAGGGAACGCGCGCGCUCCAUAGCACCGCGUCCCCACAGCGCGGCCCCUGCACCUCGCAGCCGAGCUGGGCGAGGGGCGACGAGGAGAAUGGCUGCCGGAGGCGUCCUCGCCUUCGGGCUCACGUGCAUCGCAAGCAACAAGUGCAGGACCGUUGCAUCCUGCUCCCGGGAGUGAGCGGUCCGGAUGGGCGGACAGAUUCUUGCCCCGUUUAUCAUGGCACCUAACACAGUUGGGAGUCUUUCUGUCUACAUUUGGUACGAGUUUGCAGAGGUUGGGUUUCCAUGGCGUCAACUGCUUCCUUCAUUCCAAGCCUGGCUGAGAGGUCACAGCAUCGGUGGCAGCUCCCAGAGGACCGCCGCCAUUAUGGCGAUAAUCACAACACCCACUUCGCUGGAGCGGGAAUGUCAAGUGCGUGACAUCUGUGACACCCGCCUUACCCGUGCCCUCCCAAGGCCACCGUCUCUGCUCUCCACAGCAGACAUCUCUACCGAGCAAUCGCGCCGUUCCCCAGGGAACCCAGACACGGCCUCAGAAUCCUUCUCGAAUCCGGUCUGGGACAGAGGAAGUCGAGCCCAACUGCCGAGCCUCUGGAGCUGGCCCGGCAGAUGGCGGGGGUUUUCCUGGCUGGGAAACGUGGUCGCAUUCCAGUUCAGUGGGUUUUUUAACGUGUCAACACCCAGGUAACCAGCAGCCAGCACAAUCAAGAUCUAGACCGUUUCCGUCACCUGGGAAAGACCCCUCGGGCCCAGUUCCCGUACCCCGGCCCCAGAAACCACCGACUGGCUUUGUCUGCCAGCACCAGGGGUAAAGAGAUGUGAGUAGGAACUUGGAGGCACCUGGGGAAGAAGGAAAAAUUAGGAGGGAGCUUCUAAAUGCCGGGACCCCCAACCAGGACAGUGGGAACCAGGACGACAGCCGCUGGUGUUUACUAUGUUCCAGGCCCUUGGCGUGUAUUAACCGUGCAGUCUUCAUGUCGCAGGCUCUUGGCGUGUAUUAACCGUGCAGUCUUCAUGACACCCGUGUGGAACAGGUACGGUUAUGACCCCUAUUUCACAGUUAGGGAAACCGAGUCACGGUGAUUAAGCAACUCUCCCAAGGUCAUGCAGCUAAUGAGUGGUAGAGCCAGGAUUUGAACCCUCGGAGACUGGCAUCUGGCCCUUAACCACUAAGCUUUGCAGUGUCUGGUCAGGAAGGCUGCUGGCCGGUAAGUGGUAGGCAAGGAGGCUGGAAAAGUCUGCUGUGGGGGUGUCCCCCGUUGGAGCGUCCUCUGGUGUCCUCGCCAAAGUCCCACCCGGGCUUCUGUACCAAUAAGUCAUCACCUAAGGGGACGGGACGCUAACCUAAACUUCCUGUCCCAUCACAGUCAGAUCGAAAGCAGCGUUUCCACCAAGAUGCAGACCUCAUGCUGCAAACCGGGCACGGGGACCGGAGGCCCCUGGUCCUGCUUUGUGACUUCCCCCCGAGGACGUCCUCGUGGGCUUUGACCUCUCACCUCCCGCACGCCGAAGCCCCAUUUCCAUCCCCGGUUGUCACCCCUCCCUGGGUGUCACCUCACCGUCUCUGCCUCCACAUCUGGCCUUUUACUACCAUUUGGCUGGUUCCUCGGUCCCGUUCGUUCCCCGGUUCUGAGCCCCGCCCCUCCAGGAUGCCAUCCCCCACUGCUCACCCUGCCACAGGCUGACGGCUGGGAGGAUGUGGGGUGGGUUCUGAGCUUCCACCUCUGCAGGUCGAGUGGCUGCCGCUCCUUAGAAACACGGGGACACAUUCUACAGAGCACACGCAUGUCCAAAGUUCACUUGAAGAGACAGAACUUGUUUUUCCCCACUUUUUUAAGCCACGAGAAAACUCUAAUCAUUUUGAGACGGUUAUAGUGUCGGGAACCUGCCCUCUUCAUAAUAGAAAGAAAAGCUUUUGCAGAUAAGUAGUUGGCAAUAACAAAGGAGAAACUAGAAAAUGGAAACUGAAAAAUUACUACAUCUAAUUAAAUACUGGCCUUUCCAAAGAGCUGGGGUAAGAAAAAAGAAAAACACCCUCCAGAGGUCCAAAGCCAGCAGACGAUUCGAUGAAAUAGAACCUGAAGAGCUCAAAAUGAGAGAGAGAUGAGCUACUGAAAAUAGUAAUAAACUCAAGGGUUUGAUGAAGUUUGCAGAGAAGGUGGACUCUUAAUCGAACUCACCUUUGGUAACGUUUGAGCGAGACCUGCCCCCCCUCUCCCCCCACAUCACGAUAACUCAUGCGUUCCAUAAAAAUUCAGCCCGCAUGGGAGAUCUCCAACUCUCAACAUGGACAGUGUUUUAUUUAAUCGUCCCGAAUGGUAUUCCUUUCUUUACGUGGUCAUCACACAGGACGGAGUUUCCUUUGGAGCCACCGAGGCCUCAUUUGCCCAAGUGUCAUGCGAAGCGUGUUAGCACAUCAAACUAGGAAGGCUCAGCUUUCGGACUGGAGCUGCAGUCAUCUCUGGCUCUUCUCGUGACGUGAUCGAGCUCAGAGCGAUGAACUCCAGGAAUCAGACACGUCCCGAGGUGUUUAGCCAAUCCGAGAACUCAGUGGUGAGGAAAUGAGGUGCUGGGAUGGAGGACACCCACCUGGACGCCACGGGCCCCCACCUGGUGCAGGACUCCGACUGUCCCCUGGGACGC